rnacentral:rRNA from 1 species
AUAUUAUUAAGCGGAGGAAAAGAAACUAACCAGGAUUCCCCUAGUAACGGCGAGUGAAGCGGGAAGAGCUCAACGUUAAAAUCGGUGCCUCUAGCGGGGCUUCCGAAUUGUAAUCUCGAGACACUUUAUCAGCCUCGACCCGGGUGGAAAUCUUUUGAAACAAGGUAUCAGAGAGGGUGAGAAUCCCGUCUGCAACUCGGAGUUCGGGGCGUACGAGGGGUGUUCCAAGAGUCGAAUAGCUUGGGAGUGCUGUUCUAAAUGGGUGGUAAAUUUCAUCUAAAGCUAAAUAUCUCUAGGAGACCGAUAGCGCACAAGUA